ACUCAUACGGCCUCCCCUCGUAAGUUACUCGAUUCAUCAAGCUCUAAAGGGAUUUUGAUGGCCUGAAGAGUUUCUUUAUACAAUUUAAAAGUUUUUUCUUCACUGUAGAAUCUUCCAGUGGGAAAAGAUGAAGGUCGGCAUCAAUGGAUUUGGACGAAUUGAAAGGCUUGUUUUAAGAAUUGCAACUAGUAGAGAUGACAUUGAAGUUGUGGCUGUUAAUGAUCCUUUCAUAGAUGCUAAAUACAUGGCUUAUAUGUUCUAGUAUGAUUCCACUCAUGGUCCAUUCAAACGCUCCAUCAAGGUCGUCGAUGCAUCAACCUUGGAGAUUAAGGG